rnacentral:snRNA from 1 species
AGAUGUGAGGGCGAUCUGGCUGCGACAUCUGUCACCCCAUUGACCACCAGGGUUGAUUCUCUGAUCUCGCUGGCUAGGCGGUGUCCCCUUCCUCCCACACCUCUCCAUGUGCUUCCCUCCCAAAUCUGCUCCCUCUGUAGAAAAGGACUGCCUUCCCCAAAUAGAGAUGGACUGGUCUUGGGUCAAGGGGAUAAGAGUAGCUGCACUCCCCUGCUAGAACCUCCAAACAAGCUAUCAAGAGGCGUACAACUCCACACAUUUCCCACCGCCAGAUCU